GUCAUAGAAGAAAACCGAAGUUGUAUUUUUUUUAUUACAGUUUAAGGGUUCUAUAGUUUUUCAGUUUAUUAGUUUCUUUACAUAGGAUAUGUUAUAUAGGUUAUAUAACAAGAAUUGGGUUUUGAUAUGUGAUGGGAGUGUUUGAUUAUUCCCUACUAGAAUUGAGUCAUUUGGUUAAGUUUGUAUCUUGGAUUUAUUGGGGAAAAGUGAUAUAAGAAGUGAUAUAAGUUCUAUGUCUGGUGAAGUCAACAUGGCUGAUGUUGGUCAAACCAUAUGUUGUGAAUGCGGAUUGAGAGUUUCGGAGUCUUGCGUUGGUUACCGCUGUCAAAAGUGUAGCCGCGUGUUUUAUGAGGGUUGUGUGCGAGGAUACAGUUCGUUUGCUGAGCUUGAUAUCUGAUCGUGCAAGUUUUGUGCCGGUUUUGAGAGUAAACAGAAAUUUGGGGGCAAGUUUAGUCAUAAGAUACAUCCGUGUGAUUCGCCCCGACAAAGCCCUAAACUAUCGUCACCGGAUUAUUCCGGUGAGAGAUUUGACGGGUCUUCGCUUAACGCAGUAUCCAUUUGCCGCUCCACGAGCAGGAGCGAUGAAGAUGACGGAGAAUAUUCUUCAAAAAAACAUCAUCAGCCCGUAUAGUCUCGACACCUCGUUGCUUUAGUAGUUUAAAUAGUGUUUAUUGAAUGAGAAACCUAAAGCAAGGCUUUCAGUUGCAUCCAUAGACCUGGACCGAUUUCACCGUCUGAAUCCUCUGAGGUUCGGAGGUGCUCUGGCAGUGGAGGCGGUGCUGGCGCGGAGGUUUACGGUGUUUAGUACUCCGGAACAAUACCAUGUAUUUUUUUAAUGGU